GGGGGUGCUAUACAUGCAGUCGAGCGAAUGGAUUAAGAGCUUGCUCUUAUGAAGUUAGCGGCGGACGGGUGAGUAACACGUGGGUAACCUGCCCAUAAGACUGGGAUAACUCCGGGAAACCGGGGCUAAUACCGGAUAACAUUUUGAACCGCAUGGUUCGAAAUUGAAAGGCGGCUUCGGCUGUCACUUAUGGAUGGACCCGCGUCGCAUUAGCUAGUUGGUGAGGUAACGGCUCACCAAGGCAACGAUGCGUAGCCGACCUGAGAGGGUGAUCGGCCACACUGGGACUGAGACACGGCCCAGACUCCUACGGGAGGCAGCAGUAGGGAAUCUUCCGCAAUGGACGAAAGUCUGACGGAGCAACGCCGCGUGAGUGAUGAAGGCUUUCGGGUCGUAAAACUCUGUUGUUAGGGAAGAACAAGUGCUAGUUGAAUAAGCUGGCACCUUGACGGUACCUAACCAGAAAGCCACGGCUAACUACGUGCCAGCAGCCGCGGUAAUACGUAGGUGGCAAGCGUUAUCCGGAAUUAUUGGGCGUAAAGCGCGCGCAGGUGGUUUCUUAAGUCUGAUGUGAAAGCCCACGGCUCAACCGUGGAGGGUCAUUGGAAACUGGGAGACUUGAGUGCAGAAGAGGAAAGUGGAAUUCCAUGUGUAGCGGUGAAAUGCGUAGAGAUAUGGAGGAACACCAGUGGCGAAGGCGACUUUCUGGUCUGUAACUGACACUGAGGCGCGAAAGCGUGGGGAGCAAACAGGAUUAGAUAC
rnacentral:rRNA from 1 species